rnacentral:rRNA from 1 species
GUACACACCGCCCGUCGCUACUACCGAUUGAAUGAUUUAGUGAGGUCUUCGGACCGGUGCGCGGGCUCCGUUUUGGCGGUGUCUGAUGUCACUGGAAAGAUGACCAAACUUGAUUAUUUAGAGGAAGUAAAAGUCGUAACAAGGUUUCCGUAGGUGAACCUGCGGAAGGAUC